ensembl:lncRNA
AACUCCAGCAGCCUUUGGGAGUUCUAAAAGAACCAGUUAUUCAUGUAUUGGUUUUAAAGCCCUCUGUAGAUGAGAGAAGUAUCUUUUGGGUGUACCAAGUCUUAUCCAAAAGCUGAUGAGUUGGAAACUGUAAAAAUUGACAACUGAUACAAUUCUAAACUAUCAAAAGGGAGAAGUCUAAAUGAAAAACAAAAGACCCAUGCAAGAUGUAAGGUUUCAUAAAUCCUCUCUCAUAAGGAGAGCCUUGAAGUAGAAUUCAAAAGAGAAAACACGGUAUAUGAACAUGGUUUUGUUUCAGUACUGAUAGGUUAAAAAAGUGCAUUCUAGUUCAUGUUCUGAAUUAUGAAAAUAUAUGAUGCUCAUAUAAUUAGGAUAGAUACUGAAAAUUUUCAGAAAUUGCAAAUGCUAAUGUCUGCAAAAGGCUAGAAAAAUCUGAAAACUCAUUUUUAUUUCUGAAGAAUGCAGUUCUUGAUUUGACUUCUUGUGCAUUGAAACAAAUGGGCUGCACUACGUGUUUUCAGCCGAGAUGUUGUUAUCCAUUCAUUUCUGGAAGAACUAACAGGUUGAGCACAAACACCAUCACUGUUUAUCUCUAUACUACUUUUUAAUUUUUUUUUUAUUUCACAAAUAGGCCUGGAGUUAAUUUCUGAGCAGCCUCAUGAAUCAACUCCACAUCAAUUGCUCACACUGUGGGAUUGUGCAAGAAGUGUAUUAGUGACAUUUCAUGUUCAUGAUGUCCAAAUUUUGUAUUGAGUCAACUUGUAUCUUGUCUAGUUUUCUCCCUUCUUUACAGACACAAGAGAAACAUAGGAAAAAAAUAGUUUAUGUAAAAAGUAAAUAUCAGAAAGUGAUUAAGAAUCUGUAACAGAGCUCAUUGAAAGAAUGAAGAGGCAGUGUGGAGAAAAAAUGUCUUUUUUUUUUAUUUUAUUUUCUAAAGAAUAAGAUUUUUACAGAACAACCACUGUAUGAAAGUUUUAUUUUCUUGUUUUGCUUUUUAAAAUUUUGCUCAAUUUGAGUGUUUUCAUAAUUACCUCUCUGCAGUAAUAGACAGAGAUUCUCUUCUUGUGAUACAAAGCAUGUUCACCCAUACUUUAAUCAACUUCAUAAGGACCAGAGUCGGUCUGUUUUGGGAGCUGUACUAAAUACAGGAAUUUCUUUAAAAGAUAUAGAAACCUCCUUACUUCUGGCUCCAUACUGGACAUUAGUAUUGCCAGUAUUUUAGAGAAGUUCAGCAGUAUUGUAUGAAUUCUUGCAUUUUUAUGAGUCAAAAUGUUACUAUCAUUAAAAUACGAAAUAUUUUCUGAAAACAUCAUUUCUUGUAAAGCCAUAUUAAUUGACAUCUAUGAUAUCACCUUUUCUUAGUGUGUGUUAAAAAAUACUGCAUCAACUGUGCAGUUGGCAGCACCAGAACCAAAGUUUUGAAGAUCAGGAUAAUAAGUGGUUCAGGCUAUUUAUCUUUUAUGAACAUUGGCAUGAAUAUUGGCAUUUUUCUAUUCUACUUAAGCUUCCCUCCUCUUUUCAAACUUUUCUGGAAAACAAUAUUAGCAGUUUAAACACAGACUUGUUGAAGUCUUGGAUGCAAGUUAACUUUUAUUCAUCAGUUGAAAUGUCAAGUUUUAGUAGUUUUUGCUUAGUGGAAAUUAUUCCAUCAGACUGAAAGCUAACAGAUUAGCCAAAAUCAAAGCAGUCAUGCUUGAUUUCUUUCUAUACAGUAACAGAGAAGAGAAUGCACAGACGCUGUUUUACAUCUUCAAUUUGUGAAGUUUUUGACCAUAGCAAGAGGAUCUUAGAGAUAUCUUGUUUUGAAUUUAAGCUGUGUGCAAAAUGAGAUGGACAACAUUCCAGACAGUAGCAAUGGUCCAUGGUUUCCUGUUAUGGGAUCCACAUAUGAAAAGAUAGAGGCAUGGGUUGAAUGUCCUUGCUGUACACAGAAAAAUAUUCCCAGCCAGAGAAUACAAACAACGGCAUCACAAAUUUAGAGCAUGGAAGAGGCCACCUGACCCAAAUUUUGCUUUGCCAUUCUGCUUGUGGCAGAAGAACAAAGGUUGUUAAAUACUUAAUUACCCGGAUGGUACACAUGGCUGAUGGAUUGACUUGGAUCAACGCAGUUGUAAUUAUUUCACCACAGUGUGGCUGACUAAGAUGGAUACUUGGACUUCACUCAAUGGUUUUCAACAUUCCACCAGAAAUAAACAGAGCACAGACUAUUCUCAAUAUGUUUAUGCAUCACUAACUUAUAUUAGUUUUGGAAACUGUGAAAUUUAUGCCAAUUGUUUGUAAAACAGAGUACAGUUUUGAUUUUUUUUUUCUUGUCCCGCAGCCCAGAAUCAAUAUGUGUACAAUUUCCAUCCUCCUUACAUUACGUACUAUUCCUAAGAGCUGAGGCCAAGAAAUAAAUUGACCUAAUUCUUUUUCUCC